AUUGAACGCUGGCGGCAGGCCUAACACAUGCAAGUCGAACGAGUGGCGGACGGGUGAGAAAUGUCUGGGAAAAUGCACGAUGGAGGGGGAGAACUACUGGAAAAGGUAGCUAAUACCGCAUACCAUCGGAUGUGCCCAGAUGGGAUUAGCUAGUAGGUGGGGUAAAGGCUCACCUAGGCGACGAUCCCUAGCUGGGCUGUGAGGAUUACCAGCCACACUGGAACUGAGACACGGGCCAGACUCCUACGGGAGGCAGCAGUGGGGAAUAUUGCACAAUGGGCGCAAGCCUGAUGCAGCCAUGCCGCGUGUAUGAAGAAGGCCUUCGGGUUGUAAAGUACUUUCAGCGAGGAGGCGUUACUCGCAGAAGAAGCACCGGCUAACUCCGUGCCAGCCGCCGCGGUAAUAC
rnacentral:rRNA from 1 species